AUCCUGUAUCAGUUGUUGCACCUGCAAACGAGAAUUCUCUUUAAUUUUACAUCAGAUAAUAUAUACCCAAAGUGGACGGAGGAGGGUUCGAAAGCCAGUCCGUUGCAUAUGGUGAGAGGAAGCGGGGAGGAUAAAAUUUGUUGAAUUUGUUCCAAAAAGGGACUUCUACAAUGCACUCAACCUUCAAGUUCGAGGUUCAUUCCUGUUGAAGAGCAUAAAGUAUUGAAGCUACUUUGAGGGUAGCAUUCUUUGGUUGGACAGAAGUACUUCAAAAGAUUCUCACGGCGGAUGAUUAGAGAAAGAGAUGGGUGAUAAUAAUGGAUUGAGUAAAAGCAUUGAUUACCUUCUUCACUGCGAGGUGGUUAGGGAGUUGUGGGCAUUGAUUUUUCAUAUUUCUGGGUUUGAGUCAGUCGUGCCCCAACAGGGGUGGUGGAGAUAUUAAUGUUUGUAGGAUGGUUCCUCUGUGCUUAAUGUGGUGCAUUUGGCAGGAGUGCAAUGCUAGAGCCAUUGAAGAUGGCAAGAGGACAGUGUAAGAGUUAAAAGCCAUAUUCUUAAAACCCUCCAUAGAUAGAUGGCUGCCACCAUUGAAGGUGGGUCUGUGUGCAUGUGAAUGCAGCAUCGAACAGAUUGGAAACAAAGGUUUUCAUAUUUUGCAGUAUUUCAUCCCUUUUUAAGGUCAUUUUCUUUGUAUUAUGCCAUUAGAAAUGCUCAUUUUGGACUUGUUUAUCCA